rnacentral:rRNA from 1 species
GACGAACGCUGGCGGCGUGCUUAACACAUGCAAGUCGAGCGGUAAGGCCCUUUCGGGGUACACGAGCGGCGAACGGGUGAGUAACACGUGGGUGACCUGCCCUCAGCUCUGGGAUAAGCCUGGGAAACUGGGUCUAAUACUGGAUAUGACUCCACGGUGCAUGUCGUGGGGUGGAAAGCCUUGUGCGGCUGAGGAUGGGCCCGCGGCCUAUCAGCUUGUUGGUGGGGUGAGGCCUACCAAGGCGACGACGGGUAGCCGGCCUGAGAGGGCGACCGGCCACACUGGGACUGAGACACGGCCCAGACUCCUACGGGAGGCAGCAGUGGGGAAUCUUGCGCAAUGGGCGAAAGCCUGACGCAGCGACGCCGCGUGAGGGAUGACGGCCUGG